rnacentral:pre_miRNA from 1 species
AACUUUUCGAAUCCGUGCUGAGAUUUUGUCAGACAUUGACCCAUUAAGGCCGAUCAGAAUUCCAAGAUAAGUGAAGUU